rnacentral:rRNA from 1 species
CCAUGCGAGUCGAGAGGGUUCGGCCCUCGGCAGACUGCUCAGUAACACGUGGAUAAUCUGCCCUAAGGUGGAGGAUAACCUCGGGAAACUGAGAAUAAUACUCCAUAGAUCUAGAAUGCUGGAAUGCAUCUAGAUUGAAAGUUCCGACGCCUUAGGAUGAAUCUGCGGACUAUCAGGUAGUAGUCAGGGUAAAGGCCUGACUAGCCUACGACGGAUACGGGUUGUGAGAGCAAUAACCCGGAGACGAUAUCUGAGACACGAUAUCGGGCCCUACGGGGCGCAGCAGGCGCGAAACCUUCACACUGUGCGAAAGCACGAUGAGGGGAUCCCAAGUGCUUGCACGUAAGUGUAAGCUGUUUCUAUGUUUAAAGUGCAUAGAGAGUAAGGGCUGGGUAAGACGGGUGCCAGCCGCCGCGGUAAUACCUGCAGCUCAAGUGGUGANNACUAUUAUUGGGCCUAAAACGUCCGUAGCCGGCUUGGUAAAUGCCUGGGGUAAAUCGUGUAGCUUAACUAUACGAAUUCCUGGUAGACUGCCAAGCUUGAGACUGGGAGAAGCUAGAGGUACUCCUGGGGUAGAGGUGAAAUUCUGUAAUCCUAGGGGGACCACCAGUGGCGAAAGCGUCUAGCUAGAACGGGUCUGACGGUGAGGGACGAAGCCCUGGGGCGCAAACCGGAUUAGAUACCCGGGUAGUCCAGGGUGUAAACGCUGCUUGCUUGAUGUUAGUCGGGCUCCGAGCCCGAUUAGUGUCGGAGAGA